GGCCGGAUGGUCUAAGGGUAUGAUUCUCGCUUUGCGUGCGAGAGGUCCGGGUUCAAAUUCCUCUUCGGUCC
rnacentral:tRNA from 1 species